rnacentral:misc_RNA from 1 species
GAAAUGCGAAAAGCAAUGCGAAUUGCAGAAUUCCGCGAGUCAUCAGAUCUUCGAACGCAUCUGGCGCCGAUCGGAUCUCCGGUUGGCAUGUUUGUUUCAGUGUGUUGUUAAGACUCACAAAUCUUAAUGUGAUUGACUGUGUAAUAGAGUGUCACAGCCCUGUUACCAGUCUCUCAUGAAAGAAAGCGCUGUGCGAACCGCACUAAUGCAGUAGUCAGUCCUUGCGAUUGAUACUCAUUGGUACGGAUCAUUCUACAGUGUCAAAUCAAAUCAUCACACACGCAUCUGAGACAAGCAAGAUAACCCGCUGAACUUAA